GGCCCGCUAGCUCAACAGGUAGAGCAGGGGACUCUUAAUCCCUUGGCUGCAGGUUCGAGUCCUGCGCGGGUCA
rnacentral:tRNA from 2 species